rnacentral:rRNA from 1 species
UGGGGAAUAUUGGACAAUGGGCGCAAGCCUGAUCCAGCCAUGCCGCGUGAGUGAUGACGGCCUUAGGGUUGUAAAGCUCUUUCAGAAGGGACGCCGCCCCGGGAUAAUACCUCGGGGCAUUGACGGUACCUUCAGAAGAAGCACCGGCUAACUCU